ensembl:lncRNA
GUACGUACAACACACACUGUCAACAGUAAAACCUUUCUCCUUUAACCUCAGAGCAGGUCUUCAUCCUGGAUGUUCAGGUCAUUAAAGGUCCAUGAGUUCUACCUUCAUACUGGGAAUAUUUCCAGAGUUCCAGGUUCUUGAAGUCCAUAGAGGAGAACGUCCCCUGGAGAAAGUUCUAGAGUAGACCGACUGACAACUAGACAGUUGUAGGCAGGUCUACUCUAGAACUUUCUCUAGAUGUCAGUAGGUCUACUCUAGAACUUUCUCCAGUUGUCAGUAGGUCUACUCUAGAACUUUCUCCAGUUGUCAGUAGGUCUACUCUAAAACUUUCUCCAGUUGUAGGCAGGUCUACUCUAGAACUUUCUCCAGUUGUAGGCAGGUCUACUCUAGAACUUUCUCCAGAUGUCGGUAGGUCUAUUCUAGAACUUUCUCCAGUUGUCAGUAGAUCUACUCUAGAACUUUCUCCAGUUGUCAGUAGAUCUACUCUAGAACUUUCUGCAGUUGUCAGUAGGUCUACUCUAGAACUUUCUGCAGUUGUCGAUAGGUCUAUUCUAGAACUUUCUCCAGUUGUCAGUAGAUCUACUCUAGAACUUUCUCCAGUUGUCAGUAGAUCUACUCUAGAACUUUCUGCAGUUGUCAGUAGGUCUACUCUAGAACUUUCUCCAGUU